GGGAGGNAGCNGUNGGGAAUNUUAGACAAUGGGCGCAAGCCUGNUCUAGCCAUGCCGCGUGUGUGAUGAAGGUNUUAGGAUNGUAAAGCACUUUCGCCAGGGAUGAUAAUGACAGUACCUGGUAAAGAAACCCCGGCUAACUCCGUGCCAGCAGCCGCGGUAAUACGGAGGGGGUUAGCGUUGUUCGGAAUUACUGGGCGUAAAGCGUACGUAGGCGGAUCACAAAGUUAGGGGUGAAAUCCCGAGGCUCAACCUCGGAACUGCCUCUAAAACUCCUGGUCUUGAGUUCGAGAGAGGUGAGUGGAAUUCCAAGUGUAGAGGUGAAAUUCGUAGAUAUUUGGAGGAACACCAGUGGCGAAGGCGGCUCACUGGCUCGAUACUGACGCUGAGGUACGAAAGUGUGGGGAGCAAACAGGAUUAGAUACCCUGGUAGUCCACACCGUAAACGAUGAAUGCCAGUCGUCGGGCAGUAUACUGUUCGGUGACACACCUAACGGAUUAAGCAUUCCGCCUGGGGAGUACGGUCGCAAGAUUAAAA
rnacentral:rRNA from 1 species